rnacentral:rRNA from 2 species
ACUCCUACGGGAGGCAGCAGUGGGGAAUAUUGCACAAUGGGCGCAAGCCUGAUGCAGCGACGCCGCGUGAGGGAUGACGGCCUUCGGGUUGUAAACCUCUUUCAGCACCGACGAAGCGCAAGUGACGGUAGGUGCAGAAGAAGGACCGGCCAACUACGUGCCAGCAGCCGCGGUAAU